GGUGUGGCCUUGUUGGAGGAAGUGUGUUACUGGGGGUGGGCUUUGAGAUUUUUAGAAGCCCAAGUCAGGCCCAUAGGUUCUCACUCUUCCUGCUGCCUGUAGAUCC
ensembl:miRNA predicted gene, 23762